rnacentral:rRNA from 1 species
GACAGAGGCCCCGAGCGUUAGGCGGAAUCACUGGGCUUAAAGCGUGUGUAGGCGGGCCCGUAAGUGUCUUGUGAAAUCCCACGGCUCAACCGUGGAACUGCUGGGCAUACUGCGGGUCUUGGGCCAACUAGGGGCAGCCGGAACAAGCGGUGGAGCGGUGAAAUGCGUAGAUAUCGCUUGGAACGCCGAAGGUGAAAACAGGCUGCCGGGGUUGCGCCGACGCUGAGACACGAAAGCCAGGGGAGCGGAACGGG